rnacentral:rRNA from 1 species
AGAGUUUGAUCCUGGCUCAGGAUUAACGCUAGCGGCAGGCCUAAUACAUGCAAGUCGAACGGUAACAGGGUAGCAAUACCGCUGACGAGUGGCGCACGGGUGCGUAACACGUAUGCAAUCUUCCUUUAACUGGGGAACAACCCCUCGAAAGAGGGGCUAACACCGCAUAACAUCAAGAGGCGACAUCACCUUUUGAUCAAACCUCCGGGGGUUAAAGAUGAGCAUGCGCUCGAUUAGCUAGUUGGCGGGGUAAUAGCCCACCAAGGCAACGAUCGAUAGGGGGUCUGAGAGGAUGAUCCCCCACACUGGUACUGAGACACGGACCAGACUCCUACGGGAGGCAGCAGUAAGGAAUAUUGGACAAUGGAGGCAACUCUGAUCCAGCCAUGCCGCGUGAAGGAUGAAGGCGCUAUGCGUUGUAAACUUCUUUUACAGGGGACAAAACUCCUGGUCGUGAACCGGGACUGAUGGUACUCUGAGAAUAAGGGUCGGCUAACUUCGUGCCAGCAGCCGCGGUAAUACGAAGGACCCGAGCGUUAUCCGGAUUUAUUGGGUUUAAAGGGUGCGUAGGCGUCCCGGUAAGUUAUGGCUGAAAUCUCCCCGCUCAACGGGGAAACUGGCCGUAAAACUGUCGGGAUUGAGUACACUUGAGGCGGGCGGAAUGUGUCAUGUAGCGGUGAAAUGCUUAGAUAUGACACAGAACACCAAUUGCGUAGGCAGCUCGCUAAAUUGUAACUGACGCUGAGGCACGAAAGCGUGGGGAUCAAACAGGAUUAGAUACCCCAGUAGUCC